rnacentral:rRNA from 1 species
CCUACGGGUGGCAGCAGUGAGGAAUAUUGGUCAAUGGACGAGAGUCUGAACCAGCCAAGUAGCGUGAAGGAUGACUGCCCUAUGGGUUGUAAACUUCUUUUAUAAAGGAAUAAAACGAGGCACGUGUGCCUUUUUGCAUGUACUUUAUGAAUAAGGAUCGGCCAACUCCGUGCCAGCAGCCGCGGUAAUACGGAGGAUUCGAGCGUUAUCCGGGUUUAUUUGGUUUAAAGGGAGCGUAGGGGGGUUGUUAAGUCCGUUGUGAAAGUUUGCGGCUCAACCGUAAAAUUGCAAUUGAUACUGGCAGUCUUGAGUACAGUUGAGGUAGGCGGAAUUCGUGGUGUAGCGGUGAAAUGCUUAGAUAUCACGAAGAACCCCGAUUGCGAAGGCAGCUUACUAAACUGUGACUGACAUUGAUGCUCGAAAGUGUGGGUAUCAAACAGGAUUAGAUACCCGAGUAGUC